GGUUCCGUGGUGUAGUGGUUAUCACGUCUGCUUAACACGCAGAAGGUCGCGAGUUCGAGCCUCGCCGAAACCU
rnacentral:tRNA from 1 species